UGUUCUUGUUUGAUUGUUGCACAGCUGUUCGAGUCAACUUAUACUUAGACCAGAUCGGGGGUGUCACAAAGGUGGUAUCAGAGCAUGGUUAUACGAUGCUAGAAUGGGACUUGUUUCAAAUGUUUUUCGAGUCAAAAUGAGUCGCAAGGAUAACUAGGAUAUGCUGGCUUGUUCCUUUAGUUUAGGAUAGAUAGUCAUGGGUAGUUACCUAACCGUGAUCUUUCAGAGCAGAAGCACCGAGACAAGAUUGAACGGGUGGACUGUGCUGACCGGUGUUACUAUCAUUAUGCUCGAGUUUGCUACCCUCAUGGUCGGGUUCACUACCGUCCUGUUAAGACUCAGUAACCUCAUGUCUUCCUGCCGUUCUUUUGAGUUCUAGUGGAGGAUACCAAUUCUUUAGAGAGAUAUAUGGGACAGAGUUGAUACAUCGAAUACAUCUCCGGACCCUUGUGUUAUCAAUGUCAAGCUUAUUCUGAGACGUACAAGCACCAAAGCCGUACAAGCCAAAUUUUUAUGUAUUUGUUUCAAGCUUAGCAUUGGACGAAGAGAUGGUUUGAUUGUAUUACAAGAUGAUGAAAGCACCGGAAGCAUUUUGUUUGCAAUGAGACAUCAUAAAUCUUAUGAUGCAAAGAAUAAGAAAUUGGGACCAUAAGAUACUGAAGAAGGUCUAAACUGUUCGAGGUAUACUUUGGCUUGAGGCAGAUUUGGGAGUCAACAAAAUCAGAGCACAAUAUUGACGUGGUCAUUGUUCACAGAAUUACAAGAAGGAUUUGGCAGCAAGCUAUUUGGAGAUGAACGCUAUGAGUUGUUGGUCAAGAGUCAAGAAUUACUUCAAGGAGUUGAGAUCGAGUUGGACAGAUUUCAAGAGUUCAAGAAGUAGAAUUUUCUACACAUGGUAUGGGACCGACUGAAGAUUAAGUUUACAGAGUUGGUACAGUGAGAUGUUUCCGCCAGGAGGUUAAGGUCGAGUUAAUCAUAUACAACAAUUUCAGCAUCAAGAUAUGUGGUCGAGUGAAUUUCAUUCAUCGACUAUGGUUUGGAGAAUAAGCCAAAGAUCAUAUGGAAAAUCUUUGGGAACUUAGCCAAGAAUUUUGGAGUAGAUAAAAGACCAUGGAGUUUCAAAGCUUCGAGGAGAUGUUAGAGUAUGACGUGAAUGUGAAAGAAGCUAUUAUUUCUGAAGAAGUUAACCAAGUCAUGCAGAUCGUUUAUUUUCCAACCGCUGCAGAUCAAAGGUCAAAUUCAAGAAGUGACUUAAGUAAGUCGUUGGGGAUGAUUUUGGGUGUCCAUUUCUUCAGAUCAAGAUCGAGGACCUUGAGCCGUUAUGGUUGUGACUAGCAAAGACAAAAUGGUCGUGAUUGUCAAAGUUUGGGAAAUUCUGGAACGUUUGCAUCAUUCGCGCUUUGGUGGUUCUUGUGAAGAGUUAGGAUUUUAGGUUACCCUUCCUCGUGAAGUUACCCGAUCUACGUUACCUAUACCAAAGAUAAGACUUGUUGAACUUGUUCGCUUUUCCUUACCGUUAGUCCACAUCCAAGUGUUAGGCUAUUUGGGUAGAGCCUACACUUUAUAGUUGACUGGACCGUCAAAACCCCUGAAAGGUCCAAUCACAGGUUUGCUUCUUAUCCCAUUGUGUGUUGUGUGCAUUUUUAAGAUUUUAUGAAGGAUUGAAAUUAAAAAAAAAAUAAUGUGACUUGUGAUCAAGGUGUCGUAAGAGACCUUGCCUAUGGAUGGAAUUUUCCAUCCAUAUUGUGUUUGAUUUGGGAACCACACGUAGUUGUAGUUCCCGAGUAUUGUCAUAGUUGUAAGUAGGAAUCACUUUAGUGAAUUCAAGUACCCGUUCUUAUUCUUGGAAGUACUGGCUACCAGUUAAAAUCUAUGGUAUGCCUUCCCCAUUCCUCAGUACUUCCGUUAGAGCGGUAUGUUUCUAUCUAGAGUGAGAUUGGCUAUCUAGUUACCGAGCUCAAUUAGGAUGUUGAGGAAAUAAAUAUUACGAAGAAGACCCGUCACUGUUGGCCUACAAUGUUACUCUACCAAGUGUUUGAGCAUCAUUCGUAUCAGUCUUAUGAGUUGAAGACCUUUUGGGAAAAAGUGAAGAUGUGUAUUCCAUUAUCUUGAUCAUUAGGAAAGGGGAAGAUGACAAGGAUCAGAAUGUAGUGAACAAUCAGAUAGCUAGAGAAUUUGAAGUUAUGCUUAAGGAAUUGGAAGAGUUGUUGCUAUCUAGAAGUAAGCUGUUCAAUAUUCUUGUGGAACCUGGAUUCGCUGCAAUAGCCUAGGGAUCUCACCAAGUGGUUUUCGCCGAGUUCUAAUAGAAGUUAGAAGAUUUGUUUGGAGAAAGGUUUCCCUCGACCUUGAUAUUUUCUCGGGGAGUGCCCAUGUCAGUGAUAAAGAAGAAGGAUGAGAUUUUGUGGUUAUGUUCAACUAUAGCUGUCAUGACUAUUAUCAAGUAUAAACUUUCUAAAGUGGUUAAGAUCAGUUGCAAGGUGAAAACGGUUUUCAAAGACGCUCGAUGGAUGCAUGAAGUUUUAGUAAAUGCUACUGCUGGGAAAUUGGAAGUUGGAUCCGAUAGUCAGCAAGUUGGAACAAGGAUUUGUUGGAGAUUUAAAAAAGAGGUUGAUGCUAUUGAAUAAUGGUCGUGUCUAAUCAUUGUUAUCAAGAUUCGGAGUUCUUUGGAUUGGCCGGUUACCAUCAGAAGUGUGUUUAAAAUUUGGAACCCAUCAACCAGUGAGCCGACUAGCUGAGAAAAGCGUUACCUUAGAAUAAGGUAAAAUGAUUGUAGAAGUAAUCAACCAGUUCGAGGAAGUCUCUAUGUCUCUACACACAUCUUAGCCUUGCAUGAGCCUAAUAUGUCAACCAGUUAGGUGAAUGCUGCUGCAAGACGAUUGUAUAAUCAUUUAUGUAUCAGGGGAGCUAAAGAGGCAUACUGAAAAUUAUUCAAUGCACGAGUACGCGUUGGCUAUAGUUUUGUUUUCUCUUCAGAAUUGGUUAUCAUUUCAGUAUGGAGAAAGAAUGCAAGUGUUCACUGAUCAAAGAAAACAUAAGAAACGCAAAUGCAGUUGCUUAUCCUUUGAGGAGAGGGGAAGUUGGUAUCAAUAUUGAGAAGGAACUCAAAAAUCAAGAAGUAGAAUCAAAAUGAUUGAUUUGGCUGUUAUACCAGGAGAGAGAGCACAAAGUCUCCAAGAUCGCAAGUAGUAAACAAGAUGGCUUACUCGUUUCUAUCUGAGGAACACAGUUGAGAAAUGAGAACUUAAGGAAAACUUAGGAGGAGCUAAAUGAAGAUAAUUUCAAUGGAUUAUAUGAGGAGUGUUAUGUACACAAGGAUAGUUAGAAAAGAUGUGGGAGAAGGAACUCAAGAUUUACCAGAAGAUUAAACUAGAUGAGUAGAAAAGAGAUGCUAAGUGAACGCCGAAGAAGAUUGAUGAGUUAAGGAAUAGAUAUGACCGUAAGGCAUAUGGGAAUGCCAAGGUUGUUAAGAUAUAAGAGGAUGUAUCAAUACAUAAAGUGUGAAGUCGUGGUACAAGAGUACUCAGUUGGUGAAUCAAGCUUGGUAUAGAUGGACCAGUUGAAUCCUCGGUUGAUGGGCAUAAGAAGGAAAUCAGAAAGCAAUAGAACCUGACUUGGUAAUGGGAAACAUAGGAGAGAUUAAGUUGUUCAGAAGAUUAUGAAGAGGGUCUCAGAUAGAUCAGCAGUGUAUAGAAUACUGUAAGGGAAAUCAAUCUUGGAAUGGGUGAGUGUGUGUAUUUGAGAGUAGCUCCCUUGGUCUGAUUCAUGUUAGCGUGAUUGAUUGUGCAUGUUCUUGUUUGAUUGUUGCACGGUUAAUCACGUUAACAUUCACCAGAGUCGAGAUGUUACCUUCACAUAUGGCACAUCACCUAAUGUUCCACAUUUCCAUGUUGUUGUUAUGAGGGAAAGCCAAUUAGAAAAGUCUUAGAAGUGAUAGUCUUCAGAGCUACUCGUGAUUGUUAGAAAAGUAUCCAGACCGCAGUUGACAAGAGUUGUGUAGCAGUAAUUAAUUUGUUUCCUCCUCAAACUGUUCGCUCAGAAAAGAAAUUAUUGAUUGUAAGAGUUGAGGAACCAAAAAUCAGUUGUGUAAACAUAGGCAGAUUAAGAUAAAGUCAGAGCUAAUAUCCAUAACUCCUUUCAGAGACAGUGUUCAGUAAAGUGUGUACAGCUAUGCUUUUAAAAUUCGGGGACGAAUUCUUUUGAGGAGGGAAGAAUGUAAGAACCCUCACAAGCAUAUAUAAUUUUGGUCGAGAAAAAUCCCGCUCGACCAGUUUGGAGUUGGUUCGACCAGAAUUAAAAAUAAAAAUCGAUCCGGUGAAUUAUUCUUGAUCGGACUGUCUCGAGGCCAAAGUACCUACUCUUAAUAGUUCUGACCAAGUGUUAAUUAUUAUGGUCGAGUUUUAUCUAUAAGCUGGAUGAGAACCAAUGGACGGGAAACAUUUUAUCGAAAACUGGUCUUGAAUACUUUCAGCUGCUUGCGAGUCAUGUGCAUGUCAUGUGCUGCUUGGGUGCUUGCUUCCUUCCUGACCUGUACAUGUGACUUGCACCUUCCAGCUUGCUUGCUACAUUAAAGUCAUGUGAGUUGCACACCUGCUUGAAGUUUCUUCAUGAAAAGGAAAUGACAUUACUUCAUGGGAAGGAAAGUGUGAUUCAGCUCACCACAUGUCUCAUACUGAUCUGAAACUUUUGUCCUUUCUUGCUGACUCUUCUCCUGCUAUUUCCCCUGUCAUUUAUUACCUUGUCCUCUUCCUGGUCGAGCUCAUUCAUCUCAGAAACAAGAAAGAAAAAUUCAGAGAGAAAGAGAGAAAGAAAGAGUGAAAAAUAUGUGAGGAAAAUACUUGAAAAAUUCAGAAAAAAAUAAGAGAAGAGAAGUGAGCUUGGACGACCCUUUCUCACCCUCUUCUGACUUUAAUCAGUGAGUAUUGGUGUGGUUAAGAGCUGAAUAUUUGGUGUCCUGAAGUUCAGAAUCACCCAUGUUCUUCAGCCUUUGGUUUUGAUCGGUUAGGAGUGGCUUCAACGAUAAGUUGUGUACCAUCUGAAUUCAGAAGAUUGUUGAUUUGAAUCGGUAAGAGCUUAUGGGUUUGAUGAGAUCAGUUUUUGUUAA